rnacentral:rRNA from 1 species
AUCUCAAAUCAGGUAGGACUACCCGCUGAACUUAAGCAUAUCAAUAAGCGGAGGAAAAGAAACUAACAAGGAUUCCCCUAGUAACUGCGAGUGAAGCGGGAAGAGCUCAAAUUUAAAAUCUGACGUGCCUCUGUCGUCCGAGUUGUAGUCUGGAGAAG